UAGAGUUUGAUCAUGGCUCAGAGCGAACGCUGGCGGCAGGCUUAACACAUGCAAGUCGAGCGCCCGUAGCAAUACGGGAGCGGCAGACGGGAGAGUAACACGUGGGAACGCGCCCUUUGGUUYGGAAUAACUCAGGGAAACUUGAGCUAAUACCGGAUAAGCCCUUACGGGGAAAGAUUUAUCGCCAAAGGAACGGCCCGCGUCGGAUUAGCUAGUUGGUGAGGUAAUGGCUCACCAAGGCGACGAUCCGUAGCUGGUCUGAGAGGAUGACCAGCCUCACUGGGACUGAGACACGGCCCAGACUCCUACGGGAGGCAGCAGUGGGGAAUAUUGGACAGUGGGCGCAAGCCUGAUCCAGCCAUGCCGCGUGGAUGAUGAAGGCCUUAGGGUUGUAAAGUCCUUUUAACGGGGAAGAUAAUGACGGUACCCGUAGAAUAAGCCCCGGCUAACUUCGUGCCAGCAGCCGCGGUAAUAC
rnacentral:rRNA from 1 species